rnacentral:lncRNA from 1 species
AUGUUUAUUUUCUUUCCCAGAUCUCUGCCUUCCCAAGAUCAUCUGCUCCUAGCCUCGUCUGGUGAUUCUCUGAGCACCGACCGAGAAGUUGUUGCCUCUCUUAAAGGAGGCCCACACAGGCACGAGAUGCAUUCCACUGAGGCCACAGAAAGGAAAAGGAUUGAGACACCACGACAAACGGAAGCCACCUUCUCUGACCAGAGGACUCCACUUCCAUCCUCGACGAGGCCAUCUCCCUGGGCCCCGGGCAGCUCUCCUGUCGGAAUCUCACCUUCUCAUCAGCUCUUACUGGCACCUGGGGAGGGGUUAGAACCUGCCUGUGGUGCUGCUGAGGACAAAGCAAGCAUCCAGAUUGCUGACGGAAAUAGAGAGACCCUCUGCCCACCCCACGGCCCACACCUCUUCCCUUCUGGAGUCUGGAGAUCAUCAUGGGCCCUCGAACUGGGACUGCCUGGCCUGAUACUGCUACGGAAGGGCUCAUCUGAGAGGUGUCCCACCCUUGAGUUCUUCAAAGGAGUGGGAGAGAAACACCGAGGUGCUCUUUUCCCACCUCCUGGAACAUCACGUCAAAGGCCCACGCCUGGCAGCCGCCCCCUCCUCGUUGUCCAUCUAGCAGGGAAGGGACAGGAUGGAAGAACACUGAACUGGGACUCAGGGACCAGGUCCCCAGAGUGAUCGUGUCUCCGCAAGCGAUCUUGG